rnacentral:rRNA from 1 species
GUGCCAGCAGCCGCGGUAAUACGUAGGGUGCAAGCGUUGUCCGGAAUUACUGGGCGUAAAGAGCUCGUAGGUGGUUUGUCACGUCGUCUGUGAAAUUCCACAGCUUAACUGUGGGCGUGCAGGCGAUACGGGCUGACUUGAGUACUGUAGGGGUAACUGGAAUUCCUGGUGUAGCGGUGAAAUGCGCAGAUAUCAGGAGGAACACCGAUGGCGAAGGCAGGUUACUGGGCAGUCACUGACGCUGAGGAGCGAAAGCAUGGGUAGCAAACAGGAUUAGAUACCCUGGNUAGUCAAGGGCGAAUUCGUU